AGUGAACGCUGGCGGUAGGCCUAACACAUGCAAGUCGAACGGCAGCACAGUAAGAGCUUGCUCUUACGGGUGGCGAGUGGCGGACGGGUGAGGAAUACAUCGGAAUCUACUUUUUCGUGGGGGAUAACGUAGGGAAACUUACGCUAAUACCGCAUACGACCUACGGGUGAAAGCAGGGGAUCUUCUGACCUUGCGCGAUUGAAUGCGCCGAUGUCGGAUUAGCUAGUUGGCGGGGUAAAGGCCCACCAAGGCGACGAUCCGUAGCUGGUCUGAGAGGAUGAUCAGCCACACUGGAACUGAGACACGGUCCAGACUCCUACGGGAGGCAGCAGUGGGGAAUAUUGGACAAUGGGCGCAAGCCUGAUCCAGCCAUACCGCGUGGGUGAAGAAGGCCUUCGGGUUGUAAAGCCCUUUUGUUGGGAAAGAAAAGCAGCAGGUUAAUACCCCGCUGUUCUGACGGUACCCAAAGAAUAAGCACCGGCUAACUUCGUG
rnacentral:rRNA from 1 species